ACAGUCACACAUUAGACUACCCCGUAGUCCUGGACCGUAAACGAUGUGGACUUGGUGUUGGAAUGGCUCCGAGCUGCUCCAGUGCCGAAGGGAAGCUGUUAAGUCCACCGCCUGGGAAGUACGGUCGCAAAGACUGAAAACUUAAAGGAAUUGGCGGGGGAGCACCACAACGCGUGGAGCCUGCGGUUUAAUUGGAUUCAACGCCGGACAUCUCGCCAGGGGCGACAGCAGAAUGAUGGCCAGGUUGAUGACCUUGCUUGACAAGCUG
rnacentral:rRNA from 1 species